UCCACGGGCUCUUGUCUAGGAUGUCUAUUUCAAUUCAUUUCAUUUCACGUCAUUUCUCUCCUCUCUUCCAAUACGUUUUCUGCCAAACUCUGAGACAGGCUUUCGUGAUAUGUUGAUGAUCACAGAGAAAAUUCUGCUCUCGAGUCUCUCACUGUCUAGAGGGGAAGACAGACAGAUAAACAGAGUGCUACAAAACUGUCCUAUCCUGAGUGCAGGCAGGGUCUGUGGAGCAGAGAGAAAAGAAGUCUUAACAUGUUCUGAGGCUUCAGGGGAUGGAGGCUGUCUGGAGAAACUUCAGAGAAGAACUUCAGAGAACCAUUCAAGGAAGAAAAAGAAGGAAUAGCAGGAAUGUUGAAAACUUAGCAUGGGUGGUAUCUGCCAAUAAUUUUGAAAGCAUGGCCAGAUUACAGAUGUCAGAGGGUUGCUCAGAAGAUGUCUUCAGAGUAACCACGUUCCUGCCAUUAUCCGCAGUCCACUGAAAACUGACAAGCAAAAAUUCCCACCAUAAAUUAUCAUGUGUCAUGUUCAUAGCUGUGGUUACCCAACCUGAGAAAGAACACUUUACUUUCCUUCCUCAAAGAGAAGGAAGAGGAUGAAUCAAGGAGAUGCUCUCCUUUGCUGGCUUUAAAGAAGUAAGCUACCAUGUUGUGAGCAACCACAUGAACUUGGAAACAGAUUGUUCCCACAUGACCUAGGAAAGCUGUCAGAUGAGAAUGAGAGUCACGUCUUGGCAGACACCAUGAUUGCAGCCUUCCAGAGAGCCCAGCCAGCUUAUGCCUGGAUUCCUUACU